UGCGUAGGUGGCGCCGUAAGUCGGGUGUGAAAUUUCGGAGCUUAACUCCGAAACUGCAUUCGAUACUGCGGUGCUUGAGGACUGGAGAGGAGACUGGAAUUCAUGGUGUAGCAGUGAAAUGCGUAGAGAUCAUGAGGAAGACCAGUGGCGAAGGCGGGUCUCUGGACAGUUCCUGACACUGAGGCGACCAAGGGGCCAGGGGAAGGCAAACGG
rnacentral:rRNA from 1 species